AGAGUUUGAUCCUGGCUCAGGAUGAACGUUGGCGGCGUGCCUAAUACAUGCAAGUCGAACGGAGAUUGUAGCAAUACGGUCUCAGUGGCGAACGGGUGAGUAACGCGUUGGUGACCUGCCCCGAAGUGUGGAAUAACAGAUCGAAAGAGCUGCUAAUACCGCAUAAUAUCCAGGAGAUUAGAUGCUUCUGGAUUAAAGGAUUUAUCCGCUUCGGGAGGGGCCUGCGUCCCAUCAGCUAGUUGGUAAGGUAAAGGCUUACCAAGGCGAUGACGGGUAGGGGACCUGAGAGGGUGGCCCCCCACAAUGGAACUGAAACACGGUCCAUACACCUACGGGUGGCAGCAGUAGGGAAUAUUAGUAAUGGGCGAAAGCCUGAACUAGCAACGCCGCGUGUGCGAAGAAGGCCUUCGGGUUGUAAAGCACUUUUUGAGAGGAUGAGGAAGGACGGUACUCUCAGAAUAAGUCUCGGCUAACUACGUGCCAGCAGCCGCGGUAACACGUAGGAGGCGAACGUUAUCCGGAUUUACUGGGCGUAAAGCGCGUGUAGGUGGUUUGGUAAGUAGGGCGUGAAAGCUCCUGGCUCAACUGGGAGAGGCCGUUCUAAACUGCCGAACUAGAGGAUGGUAGAGGGAGGUGGAAUUCCGGGUGUAGCGGUGGAAUGCGCAGAUAUCCGGAGGAACACCAGUGGCAAAAGCGGCCUCCUGGACCAUUCCUGACACUCAGACGCGAAAGCUAGGGUAGCAAACGGGAUUAGAGACCCCGGUAGUCCUAGCCCUAAACGAUGUAGACUAGGCGUCGGUGGUUUAAACGCCAUCGGUGUCCAAGCUAACGCGAUAAGUCUACCGCCUGGGGACUACGGCCGCAAGGUUGAAACUCAAAUGAAUUGACGG
rnacentral:rRNA from 1 species